GAAGAAAGAAGGGAGCAAGUAGCUAAAAUUAAGAAGAUGGAGAUGGAGAUGGAGCAGGUGUUUGAAAUGAAGGUCAAAGAAAAAGUUCAAAAACUGAAGGACUCUGAAGCUGAGCUCCAGCGGCGCCAUGAGCAAAUGAAAAAGAAUUUGGAAGCACAGCACAAAGAAUUGGAGGAAAAACGUCGUCAGUUUGAGGAUGAGAAAGCAAACUGGGAAGCUCAACAACGUAUUUUAGAACAACAGAACUCUUCAAGAACCUUGGAAAAGAACAAGAAGAAAGGGCAGAUCUUUUAAACCCUCUA
rnacentral:lncRNA from 1 species